AAUAAAUAUUUGUCAAGGAAAUCAGUAUUAUUAUUAUUCUCCCUUUCUUUUUGCAUGGUCCUGGAUCAAGACCCCGCAAAACAACAGAAAGAAAACCAAAGAACCUCUUCUGUGCCUGGGCAGUCCUCAGCCACCUCACGAGGGGCUCAGGGAUUUCUCUAUGAGUUUGAAAUUCUUGCUCUGGGCCAUAUGGAGUGGAUAUUCCAGAAGGAAAUUAUAUACUGCUCUCUGUUUCUACUCAACUGCUUUUCACUUUGUCAAGUGGACCCUUUGAAGCAGCCUUCUCCUUACCUCACAUUCUGACAUGAAUAAUUGUUUAAUUGCCUUUCCGUCUACACAAGAUAAGGAACCAUGUCUCAAAAUUGUAUAAUUCUCUUAACUAAACAAUAGCGGAACCACCCAGAGCAGUUUUCAAAGAAAGAAAAGAAUUUCUCACAUAUGUUAAGCAUUUUAUUAUUUUCAAAGUGCUUCGUUCUGUAGUAUUUUCUUAAAUUGGAUAAUGUGUGCGAAG
rnacentral:lncRNA from 1 species